CGUCAAUGGCAGUAUAGAUGCAUGGCGCUCUCGGACCGGAAACCAUGCGAUGCAAGCACUUAUGUUUUUUUGUUUGGUUCACUGCGCGAUGAACCAUAAGAUUGUUAUAAAUGUCUAAAUCGGGCGUUAUUGAUUUAUUGAAGCAUGAGAUUAGCUAGGCCAAUUUUAAUGGAAUUUCAUGAUGUGAGGUUUUAUACACAUUUAAUAGGGUGUC
rnacentral:lncRNA from 1 species